rnacentral:rRNA from 1 species
CACGUAGGGGACGAGCGUUGUCCGGAAUCAUUGGGCGUAAAGCGCGCGUAGGCGGCCCGGAAAGUCGGAUGUGAAAUCCCGGGGCUCAACCCCGGGCCUGCAUCCGAUACUCCCGGGCUGGAGGCAGGUAGGGGAGAUCGGAAUUCCUGGUGUAGCGGUGAAAUGCGCAGAGUAUCAGGAAGAACACCCGUGGCGAAGGCGGUUCUCUGGGACGGUACUGACGCUGAGACGCGAAAGCGUGGGGAGCGAACAGG